rnacentral:rRNA from 1 species
UUAGGCCUACGGGGGGCAGCAGUAGGGAAUCUUCCACAAUGGACGAAAGUCUGAUGGAGCAACGCCGCGUGAGUGAAGAAGGGCUUCGGCUCGGAAAACUCUGUUGGUAGGGAAGAAAGAUAGAGGUAGUAACUGGCCUUUAUUUGACGGUAAUUACUUAGAAAGUCACGGCUAACUACGUGCCAGCAGCCGCGGUAAUACGUAGGUGGCAAGAGUUGUCCGGAUUUAUUGGG